UUGAAAUGCCAGUUCCUAUACAAUCACCGAAGUUAAGCCACACCAAGCCAGGUCAGUACCUAGAUAGGUGACUGCUUGGGAAUACCAGGUGCUGUAAG